GACGAACGCUGGCGGCGUGCUUAACACAUGCAAGUCGAACGCUGAAGCCCUUCGGGGUGGAUGAGUGGCGAACGGGUGAGUAACACGUGGGUAAUCUGCCCUGCACUCUGGGAUAAGCCUUGGAAACGGGGUCUAAUACCGGAUAGGACACAUCGCCGCAUGGUGUGUGUGUGGAAAGUUCCGGCGGUGCAGGUUGAGCCCGCGGCCUAUCAGCUUGUUGGUGGGGUGAUGGCCUACCAAGGCGACGACGGGUAGCCGGCCUGAGAGGGUGGCCGGCCAAACUGGGACUGAGACACGGCCCAGACUCCUACGGGAGGCAGCAGUGGGGAAUCUUGCGCAAUGGGCGAAAGCCUGACGCAGCAACGCCGCGUGGGGGAUGACGGCCUUCGGGUUGUAAACCUCUUUCGACCGGGACGAAGGAUUCGUUUGACGGUACCGGUAGAAGAAGCACCGGCUAACUACGUGCCAGCAGCCGCAGUAAAAC
rnacentral:rRNA from 1 species